rnacentral:rRNA from 1 species
AGUGAACGCUGGCGGUAGGCCUAACACAUGCAAGUCGAACGGCAGCACAGUAAGAGCUUGCUCUUACGGGUGGCGAGUGGCGGACGGGUGAGGAAUACAUCGGAAUCUACUUUUUCGUGGGGGAUAACGUAGGGAAACUUACGCUAAUACCGCAUACGACCUACGGGUGAAAGCAGGGGAUCUUCGGACCUUGCGCGAUUGAAUGAGCCGAUGUCGGAUUAGCUAGUUGGCGGGGUAAAGGCCCACCAAGGCGACGAUCCGUAGCUGGUCUGAGGGGAUGAUCAGCCGCACUGGAACGAGGACGCGGUCCAACCUCCUACGGGAGACACCGGUGGGAAAUAUUGGGCAGGGGGCGGAGGCGUAUUCCGGCCAAACCGCGUGGGUGAGAAAGGCCUUCGGGUUGUAAGGCCCUUUUGUUGGAAAGUAAAAACGGCAGUUUAAUCCCCCUCUGUUCUACCGGACCCCAAGAAAAAGGCACCGCCAACCUCGUU